rnacentral:lncRNA from 1 species
AUGGCAUAAUGUAUCCUAUUGUUUUAUAUACAAUGCAAAUGUUUUUUCAUCAUGACAUGUUUAAGUUGCAUGGCAUUAUAUUUUUUUUCUGAAGAUCAUAAUUUGAUUUACUGGUCAUUGCACCCAUUGCAAUACUUCUAGAAUAUUUUUUUAAGAAAAAUAUUUUUAUUGCUCAGGAAUAUUGUUUUAUUUUGCAUCCUUUUAAUUUUAUACAAGUAUAAAUAAACCGGGUUUUCUCUAGUGAUUCAAUAAAGUAGAGAAAUAGAAAGUUUGCCAGACAAAAUUAAUCAAAAUACAGGAAACACAUGGGAUGGAUAAACAUUUAUACAUAUUUUUUUAUAGCACUGACAGAAAAAUGACAAAUUGUAUCCAGGGGCGGAUGCAGGAAUUUUCGAAAGGGGGGGUGCUAACCCAGGGCAAAGGGGGGGGUGCAAAACAUAUGUCCCGAUAUGUCCCGAUACAAAUGCAUUGAUCGGCAAAAAUAAAGGGGGGGUGCGCACCCCCGGAACCCCCCCCCUGGAUCCGCCACUGAUUUCUGUUUC